rnacentral:rRNA from 1 species
CCUACGGGAGGCAGCAGUAGGGAAUAUUGCUCAAUGGGGGAAACCCUGAAGCAGCAACGCCGCGUGGAGGAUGAAGGUUUUCGGAUUGUAAACUCCUUUUGUUAGAGAAGAUAAUGAUGAUAUUUAACGAAUAAGCACCGGCUAACACCGUGCCAGCAGCCGCGGUAAUACGGAGGGUGCAGGCGUUACUCGGAAUCACUGGGCGUAAAGAGCGCGUAGGCGGGAUAGCAAGUCAGAUGUGAAAUCCUCUGGCUUAACCAUAGAACGGCAUGUGAAACUGUUAUUCUAGAGUACAGGAGAGGAAGGUGGAAUUCUUGGUGUAGCGGUAAAAUGCGUAGAGAUCAAGAGGAAUACUGAUUGCGAAGGCAGCCUUCUGGACCAUAACUGACGCUGAUGCGCGAAAGCGUGGGGAGCGAACAGGAUUAGAUACCCGUGUAGUC